GACGAACGCUGGCGGCGUGCCUAAUACAUGCAAGUCGAGCGAAGUUUUUCUGGUGCUUGCACUAGAAAAACUUAGCGGCGAACGGGUGAGUAACACGUAAAGAACCUGCCUCAUAGACUGGGACAACUAUUGGAAACGAUAGCUAAUACCGGAUAACAGUAUUUCUCGCAUGAGAGAUAUUUAAAAGUUGGUUAUGCUAACACUAUGAGAUGGCUUUGCGGUGCAUUAGCUAGUUGGUGGGGUAAAGGCCUACCAAGGCGACGAUGCAUAGCCGACCUGAGAGGGUGAUCGGCCACACUGGGACUGAGACACGGCCCAGACUCCUACGGGAGGCAGCAGUAGGGAAUCUUCCGCAAUGGGCGAAAGCCUGACGGAGCAACGCCGCGUGAGUGAAGAAGGAUUUCGGUUCGUAAAGCUCUGUUGUUAGGGAAGAAUGGAUAUGUAGUAACUAUACAUAUAAGAGAC
rnacentral:rRNA from 1 species